rnacentral:rRNA from 1 species
UACGUAGGCAGCGAGCGUUGUUCGGCGUUACUGGGCGUAAAGCGUGCGUAGGCGGUGUCUUAAGUUUGUUGUGAAAUCUCCCGGCUUAACCGGGAGGGUGCGGCGAAUACUGAGAUGCUGGAGUGCCGGAGAGGUAAGCGGAAUUCCUGGUGUAGCGGUGAAAUGCGUAGAUAUCAGGAGGAACACCUGCGGUGUAGACGGCUUACUGGACGGUAACUGACGCUGAGGCACGAAAGCGUGGGUAGCAAACAGG